ACAUUAGAUAACUUAAGUAAGUAAUGGAAUUUUAAACCAUCAAAUAGUAAAUUAACAACUACUUCUAAUG
rnacentral:tRNA from 1 species